rnacentral:rRNA from 1 species
UACAGAGGGUGCGAGCGUUAAUCGGAAUUACUGGGCGUAAAGCGCACGUAGGCGGCUUGGUAUGUCGGGUGUGAAAUCCCCGGGCUCAACCUGGGAACUGCAUCCGAAACUGCCUUGCUAGAGUAUGGGAGAGGGAAGUGGAAUUCCCGGUGUAGCGGUGAAAUGCGUAGAUAUCGGGAGGAACAUCAGUGGCGAAGGCGGCUGCCUGGCCCAAUACUGACACUCAGGUGCGACAGCGUGGGGAGCAAACAGGG